CGGAUUGUAGUUAAGUCUGGCAGAACGCUUGCUUUGGGAGCAAGAUGCCGUUGGUUCAAAUCCAGCCGAUCCGACCA
rnacentral:tRNA from 1 species